CAAAAUGUGGUGAACAAACUGUCCGGUACUUUCAGUUUCCUUUAUCAUAGAUGGAAGGACUGGGCAGAUACCAGAAAAACUUGCAGACUCCCUGACUGCACAGAGGGACAAAAAAUGGAAACAGUCUUUAAGUCCUGACACUAUACCAAUACACAAGGAGCUGAAGUUGAUAGCAAAAGUAGAAACCAUAGAGUGUAUGUAUUACAGUUGCUGUUCUGAUUUUGGUUUAAGGUCCUUGAAGCCAAAGCUUUUAUGUGCUGCAAAUCAAAGGCACUCUGGCAGUGGAGUAAUAAAACACCUCUGCAUGGAAAUGAUUCAACAUCACAGGGAUUGAUCCAGCAAUAACCUGGCCAGCAUGCAGGUAGAGAGCAUGGACACUGGAAGCUUUACUGAAGAGGUAGUUUGCCAAGUGGUGGAGUUUCUUUGCUGAUCACCUCUCAUAACAUCUUUCCCUUUUUAAAAACCUGGAACAAUCAUCCAUGCUGAAAAUCAGAAAAGGCACUUUCACUACUAUUUCUGUAGAACUUGGUGCUCAAGCAUGUGCCAGACACUACAGUUAUUACCAGAAGUGCUACACCAGCUUGAAAAAAAUGACCUUUCUAGGACUGAUUCUAGGUUAAAUGUCUAUGAAAAAGCCUGUCUGCUCCCCUGGCCACUCCAGGAAACCCCAUUUAUGGAAGCAACCUGACAUCCAGUUCCUGACGUCCUGCACCAGGAAGGGCUGGUCCAUGGCAGACCCCACAAGAAGAGCACUCAAACUCUGUGGAAUAUAAUUUAAAAUCCUGUUUAUUAGAGUGUCUUGGUUUCAACUGCAAUAUAGUUUUCCUCCUAGUAUAUGGUACAGUGUUGUGUUUCAGAUUUAGUAUGAGAAUGAUGUUGAUAGCACCGAUGUUUUAUGUUGCUCAGUAGUGUCCUUGCUAAGGCAAGGACUUUUUA
rnacentral:lncRNA from 1 species